UACGUAGGUGACAAGCGUUGUCCGGAUUUACUGGGCGUAAAGAGCGCGCAGGCGGUCGAUCAAGUCGAGUGUGAAAGCCCCCGGCUCAACCGGGGAACGGGCGCCGAUACGACCGCCCUGGAGGGACGUAGGGGGACCUGGAACUUCCGGUGGAGCGGUGAAAUGCGUUGAGAUCGGAAGGAACGCCCGUGGCGAAAGCGAGGUCCUGGACGUUUACUGACGCUGAGACGCGAAAGCCAGGGGAGCGAACGGG
rnacentral:rRNA from 1 species